rnacentral:rRNA from 1 species
AACGUAGGACACGAGCGUUAUCCGGAGUUACUGGGCGUAAAGGGCGUGCAGGCGGCAUGGUAAGUCUGAUGUGAAAGCUCCCGGCUCAACCGGGAGAGGACAUUGGAGACUGCCAAGCUCGAGGCAGAUAGAGGGAUGUAGAAUUCCGGGUGUAGUGGUGAAAUGCGUAGAGAUCCGGAGGAACACCAGAGGCGAAAGCGGCAUCCUGGCUCAGCACUGACGCUCAGACACGACAGCAUGGGGAGCGAACGGG